UGAACUUUUAAAAUGAACCAUUUAUUAAAUCAGACUUAUUAUUAACAGUUAUGUAAGUUACAUGUAUGUUUAAGUCAGUAUUUCACAUGGAAAAUUUUUAAACUCCUAUAGGCAAGCAAAAUUUUAUCACACAAUAUAUAAGUAGGAAGGGAGGGGAUACUGCUAAACAUUCAAAUAAGGCAAGUAUUUAAAAAUAAUAAAACAAUAAUUUAAAAAAUUCAAGCAUUCCUUUAAGAGAAUUCAAUACUACAAGCUAAAUGACUUUCUGAGUGUAUCCAUAUAAUCAAUGCAGUGUUUCUCCUAUCAAAAUACCAUAAAAUGGAAUAAGGCUCAUUAAUAGACACAGCUGCCCUCAAGAUUUCAAUCUCAGUUGCUUUCUUUAAAUUAAAAUUCA